CAACGUGGGGAACCUGCCCCAUAGUCUGGGAUACCACUUGGAAACAGGUGCUAAUACCGGAUAAGAAAGCGGAUCACAUGAUCAGCUUUUAAAAGGCGGCGUAAGCUGUCGCUAUGGGAUGGCCCCGCGGUGCAUUAGCUAGUUGGUAAGGUAAAGGCUUACCAAGGCGAUGAUGCAUAGCCGAGUUGAGAGACUGAUCGGCCACAUUGGGACUGAGACACGGCCCAAACUCCUACGGGAGGCAGCAGCA
rnacentral:rRNA from 1 species